GUGGGGAAUCUUGCGCAAUGGGCGAAAGCCUGACGCAGCCAUGCCGCGUGAAUGAUGAAGGUCUUAGGAUUGUAAAAUUCUUUCACCGGGGACGAUAAUGACGGUACCCGGAGAAGAAGCCCCGGCUAACUUCGUGCCAGCAGCCGCGGUAAUACGAAGGGGGCUAGCGUUGCUCGGAAUUACUGGGCGUAAAGGGCGCGUAGGCGGCUCGUUAAGUCAGGGGUGAAAUCCCAGAGCUCACUUCUGGAACUGCCCUUGAGACUGGCGAUCUUGAGUGUGAGAGAUGUAUGUGGAACUCCGAGUGUAGAGGUGAAAUUCGUAGAUAUUCGGAAGAACACCAGUGGCGAAGGCGACAUACUGGCUCAUUACUGACGCUGAGGCGCGAAAGCGUGGGGAGCAAACAGGAUUAGAAACCCGGGUAGUCC
rnacentral:rRNA from 1 species